UGCCUCUUUCUGUAAGCUUCUCUUUUAAAAACUCUACAGGUCACUCUAAUAGGAGCCACGGUUGAGAGUCACUAGCAAAUAUAAACGGAGAAGAUUCCAAGCCUGGGGAUGACGCAACGGCUGCGGGCCAGAAUCCUCUGGUGUUUGCUACUGGCUGGCUGUCUCUCUGUGUGUCCUAGGAGUCCUCAUAACAUGGCGACCUUACUUGGAAGCUCAGGGCUUCAAAGACAAGUGCUCCAGCUCGUAAAGUAGAACCUGUAGCUUCUUUUUAUGAUUUAGCCUCAGAAGUCAUGUAGCAUCCCUUCUGCAUUUUAUUAGUUUACAGUCAAAUCACAAGCUCACCCAGUUUCAAGAGGGGAACUAGAGUCUGCCUCUUGAUGGGGGGUGUCAAGGUUCUAGUAGAAUGUAUCAGACAGCAGAUAUUGUGGCAACCAUCUUUGGAAAAUAUAAUCUGCCACAUUUGCACUGCUUUCUGUCCAUCCUCUCACAUAAUCCCGCAGAGACUGGCAAGCACUGAGCAACUGGAGAGGAAGACCAGCAGAGCCCCUCUGAGCAUUGUCAACUUCUCCGGGCUCAGCAGGAAAGAAUGCAGACUGAACAACCAUCUCUGCCUGCCAAGAGCCAAGAGGGGACGAGGGGACCCAACUGGGAGGUAUUAGCUGGUCCCCUUCACCUCUCCGUACCUGGGUUUUCUCUUUUUCAUUUUUCUAAGGGCUAUUCAGCAUGGGAAUGAGGAAAUGUAGUUGUCUAAUUUAAAAAGUGAA